CUUUACUUAUUCUUCUUAUCUAAUCAUUUCAUCUUCAUCACUCCUUUAGACUUAAACGGUUUGCCUCGUCGCCUGAAGACAUCAGAUUUUACACCAGAUUCCCCUCAUACGAGCAUCUGAUGGCGUUCUGGAACCUGAUCGGGGCAGCAACAGCAAAAAUUGUUAGGGUCACCAGGGCAAAGAAAACCUAAGCUACUGCCACAACCAGUGAAAGCCCUUUAACCAGACCAACUAAACUGCUGCCAAUCUUUGAGUUCUUCCUCUUCCUCACAUACCUGUCCACUGGCUGUACCCAGAGAGAGUUGGGUCAUAGAUACAACAUCCACAGAGCAACAGUCAGCCGGAUCAUUGUGACUUACCCUCGUAGUUGUGCAGAUAACUCGAUGUGUAGAGUUUAAAGCCUUGUCGGAGCAGGGGACCAGGCAUCAACAAUACGAUGAACAUCGCUGACUCUUAUUUUCGGAAGAUCCUGGAGACAUCGAGUAAAAAAAGUUACAUUUUCGGCAACACGCAAGGAAACAGGAAACCGAUAUGCCGACUUCUGGCGACAGCGGAAGUUCGUCACUACGCUUGUGCACAGAGUCAAUUACAUUCUAUAUUUAAUCGUCCUGGUUCUGAUUUCUUUUGGUAUUUACAAAUAAGGCAUUAUGUUAAAGAAGUCAUUCCACAAUUUGUUAGCAAAACAAAGACUAAUACAUUUGAUGAAUGUGUUAUGUCAAAUCCAACCUCUAGAGUCUAGACAUUUGAGCUCACGAUUUCUUAAUGUCUUUCAAUGUCUGUAAACACAAACCACCUAAAAGAAGCUUGGGCCAAGGAUUUUGCUGUAGACUUGUCAGAUUAAAUAUGGAAUGACUGCCUUAGUAAGAUCCAAUAUUGUUCAAUAAAUGCAUAGAACAAUCUGUACAUAGUACAAUAUAUGUACUGUUUAAGGCAGUACAUAGAGUGUACUACUCCAAAUAAAAUAACACUAUUUCUCCAAUAUGUGAUAGAUGUUAAGUAACAGAGGGCACCCUAUCGCACCUGUUCUGAUUUUGCCCUAAUUUUGACUUUUUUUUUGUAGUUUAUUCAUGUUCUUCAAGCCAUCUCUGGUAUUUUCAUAAUUAAGUAUACUUAUAAUCCAUUGAUAAU